GAACGGUUACCGGGCAGCGAUGGUAGCGAGGGAAGGAGCGCCUCCGAGGUCCGAGCAGAUAUGUAUUUCCCAAUUGAACUGGGAGAAACGGAGGACUCGAGAUAAAUCAAGUCUGCUGGUUUAGCCAGCCAAUUUAUAUGCUCAGGUCUCACAGGAUACCCAAACAUAUAAGUGCACACUGCAGAAACAGGGAGCCAGAAAAGAGCAUUCAGGAGGCUGAAAUGGAUUUAUUUUUAUGAUGCCAAGAAAUAAAACUGCACUUACUAAUAGAGAUCAUCAAAAAAGUGACCCCACGAUUACCCCAAAACUUGUUUAUACCAAUAAACCCGUUCCAGUAAUGUCUAAAGUUCAAA